rnacentral:rRNA from 1 species
CCUACGGGAGGCAGCAGUAAGGAAUAUUGCUCAAUGGCCGAAAGGCUGAAGCAGCAACGCCGCGUGGAGGAUGAAAUACUUUUGUAUGUAAACUCCUGUAAGAAGGGAAAAAUGUCCUGAUUUAUCAGGAUUGAUUGUACCUUCAGAGUAAGCCCCGGCUAACUACGUGCCAGCAGCCGCGGUAAU